AUAAAGGCGAUGAUGGAGAAAGAUUCCGGAUAAGUACUGCAGAGAGUCCGUAAUUGGUGAAAACGGAUGUAUGAACCGGAUAAUCGAAUCACUCCUGAGCAGAGACCUGAAAGUUUCGAGCGAGUAGGCGUUUCCGUAAGGCUGCGUUAAAGUCAAGAGCUUAUUGGAGCUUGAGGGUGCUGUAAAAAAGCACUGAAUUUGGGUGGUACCGCGGUUAACAGCCGCCCCAGAC
rnacentral:ncRNA from 1 species